UUAUGGAUAAGGCAUGGAAGAAAUUCGAGGAAACAAGGUCACCAAAGUCACCGACAGUUGAUUUGAGAUCAAAGGAAGAG